UGAGAGGGGACUGAACUACCC
rnacentral:misc_RNA from 1 species